rnacentral:sRNA from 1 species
AGCGAUACUCUCCAUCAUAGUCUGGGAGUGGAUCAUGCCAUUUGAAGCACUGGUAAUCGCCGGCGUUGCAACUGUGGGUUUGGUCGUGGCCUUUAUGGGAGGCUUCGGCUGGUUUGUUUAUAAAGACAGCCACCGCAAGCGGGAUCAGAAGGAUUCCUG